rnacentral:misc_RNA from 1 species
GAAAUGCGAUAAGUAAUGUGAAUUGCAGAAUUCAGUGAAUCAUCGAAUCUUUGAACGCACAUUGCGCCCGCCAGUAUUCUGGCGGGCAUGCCUGUUCGAGCGUCAUUUCAACCCUCAAGCCCCCGGGUUUGGUGUUGGGGAUCGGCACAACGGCCUCGCCAGAGGACGCGCCGGCCCCUAAAUCUAGUGGCGGUCUCGCUGCAGCCUCCAUUGCGUAGUAGCUAACACCUCGCAACUGGAACGCGGCGCGGCCAAGCCGUUAAACCCCCAACUUUUUCUGAAUGUUGACCUCGGAUCAGGUAGGAAUACCCGCUGAACUUAA